rnacentral:rRNA from 1 species
GUGCUCCCCCGCCAAUUCCUUUAAGUUUCAGCCUUGCGGCCGUACUUCCCAGGUGGCUCGCUUCACGGCUUCCCUGCGGCACCAGACACGGUCGCGCCAUGCCUGACACCUAGCGAGCAUCGUUUACGGCUGGGACUACCCGGGUAUCUAAUCCGGUUCGUGCCCCCAGCUUUCGUCCCUCACCGUCGAACCCGUUCUGGUAAGACGCCUUCGCCACAGGUGGUCCCACAGGGAUUACAAGAUUUCACUCCUACCCCUGUAGUACCUCUUACCUCUCCCGGUUCCAAGCCUGGCAGUAUCCCCCGAAAGCCUAACGGUUGAGCCGUCAGAUUUCCCGGAGGACUGACCAAACCGGCUACGGACCCUUUAGACCCAAUAAUCACGAUCACCACUCGGGCCGCCGGUGUUACCGCGGCGGCUGGCACCGGUCUUGCCCGGCCCUUGCUGACAGGUGUAUUUUACACACCCGGACAGCCAGCAUAUGAUGCUGGCACUCGGUGUCCCCUUAUCACGGUUUCCCGCAUUGUAAAGUUUUCGCGCCUGCUGCGCCCCGUAGGGCCUGGAUUCAUGUCUCAGAAUCCAUCUCCGGGCUCUUGCUCUCACAACCCGUACCCGUUGUUGGCUAGUAGGUACAUUACACCCACUACUACCUGAUAGGCCGCAGACCCAUCCUUGGGCAGACGAAUCCAUUUUACGCAUAAAGCAUUCCAGCAUAUGUGCGUUAUCCGGAAUUAUCCCCAGUUUCCCGGGGUUAUGCCGGACCCAAGGGCAGGUUAUCCACGUGUUACUGAGCCGU